AUGGAAAAUUGCUUUGCUAAUAAGCAAGCCACCGGAUAUGCAAUGGCCACCAGUGUGCCACUGGGAACGCCUAUUGUUGUGGAAGACAAAGAUAAACCCAAUGUCAUGGAGGGGCAUGGAACAACUGAUGAGGUAUUACAACAUCUUCCUAGAUCUAGCUCCGUGCUUCCAACUACUAGUGUCACUCAGGACCCUUCACCUACUUCAAAUAAGAAGAGAAAGAGAGCAUCAGGUUUGACUGAGGAGGACACAAUCCAGUGCAGCAACAUGAUUGAUGCUAUGCAUGAGAUUGCAAGUGCUAUCAACAACACUUGCCAUGCUGAAACACACCCUGACUUGUACAAGGCUGUCAUGGACCUUAUUGUGUUUGAUCAAAAUGAUCGCUUGGCUGUUCUAGAUUAUCUCAUAGAACAUAAGGCAAAAGGCCUCAACUUUGUGAAGAUGAAUGAUGAAGUUCGUAAAGCAUCGUUCAAACGUAUCUUGAAAGCCAAUCCUGAUCUUCUUUGA
rnacentral:rRNA from 1 species